UUAUAUUGGGAGGCAAGUCUGGUGCCAGCAGCCGCGGUAAUUCCAGCUCCAAUAGCGUAUAUUAAAGUUGUUGCGGUUAAAAAGCUCGUAGUUGGAUCUCAGCUCACGCUAAGUGGUCCACCUAAUGGUGGUUACUACUUAGCUGAGCAUUUUACAGAUUUGUCUCUUGAUGCUCUUCACCGAGUGUCAAGAGUGGUCUGUACGUUUACUUUGAAAAAAUUAGAGUGCUUAAAGCAGGCAACUCGCCCGAAUAAUCUUGCAUGGAAUAAUGGAAUAGGACCUUGGUUCUAUUUUGUUGGUCUCCGGAAUCUGAGGUAAUGAUUAAGAGGGACAGACGGGGGCAUUCGUAUUGCGCCGCUAGAGGUGAAAUUCUUGGACCGGCGCAAGACGAACUACAGCGAAAGCAUUUGCCAAGAAUGUUUUCAUUAAUCAAGAACGAAAGUAGAGGUCGAAGGCGAUCAGAUACCGCCCUAGUUCUAACCAUAA
rnacentral:rRNA from 1 species